UCCAUUUCCACAUGUUCAUUGCUAGAGUAUAAAUUAAUUUUUGUAAUUGGAGGCAAAGAAAUGUGAAAUUGGAGAAGUCUGGAGCCAGCUUGCUCCCUGCAGGCUCAAGAUCAACCAUCCCACAUAG